GAGUGAUCAAGUGUCUUAAGGGCAUUUGGUGGAUGCCUUGGCAUGCACAGGCGAUGAAGGACGUGAUACGCUGCGAUAAGCGUCGGGGAGGUGCGAAUACCCUUUGAUCCGACGAUUUCCGAAUGGGGCAACCCACCUUAGAUAACUAGAAAAUCUGUUUUGUUGGAGCGAAGCUUUAUGGGUAAGUGCCCAUACAGACCGCUAGGUCGUCGGCCCGUGUGGGCCGCCCCCGCGGAGCGCCAGCAUUCCUCUGGAAUGCGUACGGCGCGUGAGCGAGAACAACACAGCUUUCUAGUUAUCGUAAUAAGGUAUCUAACUCUGAAUACAUAGGGGUUAGAAGCGAACCUGGGGAACUGAAACAUCUAAGUACCCAGAGGAAAGGACAUCAAACGAGACUCCGCUAGUAGUGGCGAGCGAACGCGGACCAGGCCAGUGGCUUUUGUGAAUGAAGUGGAACGAGUUGGAAAACUCGACCGAAGUGGGUGAUAGUCCCGUACACGUAGAAUAGCAGAAGUCCUUGAGUAGGGCGGGACACGUGAAAUCCUGUCUGAACAUGGGUCGACCACGAUCCAAGCCUAAGUACUCGUGCAUGACCGAUAGCGAACCAGUACCGUGAGGGAAAGGUGAAAAGCACCCCGACGAGGGGAGUGAA
rnacentral:rRNA from 1 species